CUCCGGCUCUCCCCGCGGUCCCCGGCCCCCACUAAGCGGGGGCGGGUGGCAGAGCUUGCCGGGGGCCCCAGAAUUGUCUCCACCUGGCCUUUCCUGGUGCAGCAGGGGAAUCGUGAAGUUGUGCAAGCCGCGUCUCAAGGAGCCUUUUAGACAGAGCUGGCGAGAUGUUACCGUCAGGCAGCCCCAUUAUCAUCCCUUCCCCUGUACUGGCGUGCGUUCGAGCGGUUUGCGGGGUGCCGGGCGCAGAGUAAGCGCUCAGUAACCCUUUGCUGCUGUGCGACUGUUAUUAAUUCAUUACCAGCAUUUUGCAGCUUUCCCCUGUCGUUGGCAAAAGAACGCUGCCCGCGGACUUCUUUGCCCCUUGGAGACGUAGGAGUAUGAAAGUCAUCACGUGCGAGAUAGCCUGGCACAACAAGGAGCCGGUGUACAGCCUGGACUUCCAGCGUGGGGCUGGCGGGAGGACGCACAGACUGGCGUCCACGGGCGUGGACAGCGCCGUCAGGAUCUGGAAGGUAGAAAAAGGACCAGAUGGAAAAGCUAUAGUGGAAUUUUUGUCCAAUCUUGUUCGUCAUACUAAGGCCGUCAAUGUUGUGCGUUUUUCUCCAACUGGGGACAUUUUAGCAUCAGGAGGAGAUGAUGCUGUCAUCCUGCUGUGGAAAGUGAAUGACAACAAGGAACCAGAGCAGAUUGCCUUCCAGGAUGAGGAGGAGGCUCAGAUGAACAAGGAGAACUGGGCUGUCAUAAAAACACUGAGGGGCCACUUAGAAGAUAUAUAUGACAUUUGCUGGGCAACUGAUGGUAAUUUAAUGGCUUCUGCCUCUGUGGAUAACACAGCCAUCAUAUGGGAUGUCAGUAAAGGACAAAAGAUAUCAAUUUUUAACGAACAUAAAAGUUAUGUACAAGGAGUAACCUGGGAUCCUUUGGGUCAAUAUGUUGCUACUCUGAGCUGCGACAGAGUGUUACGUGUGUACAGCAUGCAGAAGAAACGUGUGGCUUUUAAUGUUUCAAAGAUGCUGUCUGGAAUAGGGGCUGAAGGAGAGGCAAGAAGUUACCGGAUGUUUCAUGACGACAGCAUGAAAUCAUUCUUUCGUAGACUCAGUUUUACGCCCGAUGGCUCUUUGCUCCUCACACCAGCUGGAUGUGUGGAAUCUGGUGAAAACGUAACGAAUACAACUUAUGUUUUUUCCAGGAAAAACCUUAAAAGGCCCAUCGCUCACCUUCCAUGUCCUGGGAAAGCGACGCUUGCUGUCCGCUGCUGCCCAGUCUACUUUGAACUGAGGCCGGUGGUGGAAGCAGACAAAUCAUCACAAGAGGUGGGUCCAGAGCUGGUGAGUCUGCCCUACCGCCUGGUGUUUGCUGUGGCUUCCGAGGACUCUCUGCUUCUCUAUGACACCCAGCAGCUUUUCCCUUUUGGUUACGUGUCUAAUAUACAUUACCACACCCUGAGUGACAUUUCAUGGUCCAGUGAUGGGGCCUUCCUGGCCAUUUCUUCCACGGAUGGUUAUUGUUCGUUUGUGACAUUUGAGAAGGAUGAACUGGGAAUUCCUUUGAAAGAGAAGCCACUUUCGAUCAUGAGAACUCCUGAUACAGCAAAGAAAGCUAAGAGUCAGACACAACAAGGUUCUUCGCCAGGACCCAGACCCGUAGAGGGAACUCCCAUCAGCAGAACUCAGGACCCCAGCAGCCCCUGUACAACCUCCCCCCAGGCCGGACAGUCUCCAGCCCCAACAGUGAUCAAGGACAACCCUCCGGCUACUCCUGGAGUCAAAAACUCCUUGCUAGCACCUUCAGAGGAGAAGAACUUGCAGCCCAGUAGUCAAAAUACGAAGGCUCACCCAUCCCGAAGGGUCACUCUGAACACUUUGCAAGCCUGGAGUAAGACAACACCCCGGAGAAUAAACUUAAUGCCCUUAAAGAUAGAUGCACCACCAAAUUCUGCACCAACCAGUGUAAUUUCCACCCCUUGCACAGAAAAAGUUCAAUUAGAGAUGCCUGGAGACCCUCAGGACAGUUCACCCGAGCUGAAACGGCCCAAACUUGAUGGAAACAAAGAAAGCAGCCAAAGAGUGGAGUCUUGAUGGGACCUCAAUUUCCGCUGAGAGGCCUCCAGGUCUGGGAGCCUUGGAGGAGGAAACCAGGAGUCUGCCUCCCUUUCCGAUGGGAAGGUGGUAAACUAGAGAUGAUUUGCAUUAUAGAAAUCCAAAAGGUGAACACAUGUGUACUUGCAGUGUGAGCGUGGGUCCUAGCCACAGUGAAGUUUGAAAUGUCCGAUGGCAUCUGUUUGAUCAGUGGUUCUCAACUCUGGGUGCACGUUGAAAUUGAAGUCUGACUCAGAGCUGACAUACUGUCUGGGUUCCCCUCUGGAGCAUCUGCCUCGUUGGUCUGGGCCAUUGUCUGAACGUCAGGAUUUUAAGGCUCCUCCACCAGUUGUGGUCCAUAGCCAAGACUGAGAAAUAAGAGAAAAAGCUUUUUAUGGUUAUGGUUUGUUCUGCUUAAAUACAUUUCCCCUGAAACCUUUUUCCUGAUUUUCUCUGCCUCAUCACUAACGGAUAUAAACAACCCUUCUUUACCAGUGCUGCCAGAUGAAGACAGCUUGUAGGGUAAUUCCACAUGCCAUGCAGUUGGCGCCCAGUUGAGUUUGCAGUAGUUGGCCCCUGUGCGGGUGGUGGAUCCCCUGUCCUCAGUGCAGCCUUGGCCCUAGGGGAACAGUUGUUUCUUGUGCAGCAAUGAUGGGAGUGACAGGGCAAGAGGCGCGGCAUGCCUGUAGCCUGAAGUGCACAUUUGUCAGAACGGCCAGCUGCCUGUUUGUCAGCCACCCUCCUUCAAUAGAAAUACAGAAUAAGCAAUAAAAGCUGAGGUUAUGUUACCUCCGUGUUACAGUAUGAAACGCCUGCAUAGUUUAUUGGGGAAGCCUAGGCUGAAAGUUAAGUAGUAGUCCCACUUAUAAACGAUCAUUAUAAGAUCAUCCCCACCAUCCUGGGACUGGACUUGGAUGGGUGUUUGUUUGUUUACUUAUUUAUUUUUGAGAGAUGGGGUCUUGUUCCAUAGCCUAAGCUGUGGUGCAAUGGCGUGAGCAUAGCUCACUGCAACCUUGAACUCCCGGGCUCAAACAAUCCUCCUGCCUCAGCCUUCUGAGUAACUGGGACUACAGGUGCCCACCACAACACCUGGCUAAUUGUUAAACAAUAUUUUGUAGAGACAGAGUCUUGCCAUCUUGCCCAGGCAGGUCUCGAAUUCCUGGGCUCAAGUGAUGCCCCCUCUGGGUUGGCUUUCCAGAGUGCUGGGAUUACAGGUGUGAGCCACCAGGCCUGGCCUGUUUGUUUUGAGCAGCGUUUCCAGAUGUCUCCAGAAACUCUGCCUUUGAUUAUAAGUCCCUGCUGCUUGGUGGCUAGAAGAGAAUGAGGCUCAGUGAGACUGGGAUUAACUCACAGGCAUUCCCUGGAGUCUGGGCAUAUGACCACAGCUGGGGCUUUUGAGGACAGCUGGCAAAGGGAACUGGGCAGUGCUGAGGGUGUGGCAGAGGGCAAGGCUCCCUUUCUGGCUGCCGAUGCAUGGUAGGUAAGGAUGAGCAGUGCCUCCUUGGUCUAGAGGGGAUGGCCAGGCCAGCCAUUCUUAGGAGGGGCCCUCAGGACGAGGCCGCCAGCAGGGCAGAUCAGAGGGAUGUGCCACAGGGCAGAAGUCUUGGGCAGCCCUCAGUCAUGCACUUCUGCUGCCCCCUCGUACCCACCUCUGGUGUCUUUGCUGACAGCUGUCACAUCUACACUUGAAUAGUACCCUUGGCCCUUCUCAACAAAGUUAUCCAUGUCCAUUUACACAGUGUAGGGCCGGAGUCCUUGGCCCCAGACUUGCCGAGUGGUGGAGGAUGAGCUGGCCUGUUCCCCUCCCCGAGCCUGGAGUCUCCCAGGUCUCCCAGAGCUCCUCUUUGUGCCAUUUGUCUGUAUUUCAGUCUGCUCCCUCUCACCUGGCUUGGGAGUUGGGUGGGGUGUGAGACAGACUGUGGACUUGGACACACUAAGUUCCUUCACCCUAAGACUCUGUAGUCCUAAAAAGUGGCUUUGCCUCCUUUAGUAGGAAGGGGUGAGGAAAAGGUAGGGUGGCCUUCCAGGCAGAGUAAGAAACUGAAUUGAAAUGGAUGUAAGACAAACCAGAUCACACUCCCCUCCUUUGUAUAUUGAAGCACUAGAUACUUGUGAGCACACACAAAUUCUCUGGCCACUGGGGGUCACUGUCCCACUGAAUCUGCCCUGUUGUUGCCUCUUAGGCCUGAGGGCCCUGUCCCUCAGCCCCCCCUCCUCUGACCAAGCUGUGUCCCUGUCUAGUUUUGGGUUAGUCUUCACCAGUAUGGCCUUAGAGCAGCGGUUCUCAACCUGUGGGUCAAACGACCCUUUCCCAGGGGUAGCCUAAGACUGUCUUGCAUAUCAGAUAUUUACAUUACAAUUCAACAGUAGCAAAAUUAAUUAUGAAGUAGCAAUGAAAAUAAUUUUAUGGUUGGGGGUCACCAUAACAUGAGGAACUGUAUUAAAGGGUCAUGGCAUUAGAUAGGUUGAGAACCACUGCCUUAGAGGCCAGCUCCAGCCCCUGCUGGCCAGUCCUAGAGCAGAGCAUUGUUCAGCGAACAGAGGUGGAAGAGGAUGAUGAGAGUUGGAAGUGAGUGGUCAUCCCUUCUUUGGCUUAUUCAGUCAUUAAUCUAAGAAAUGUUUAUCGCCAGUGCGGGGUCUCACACUUGUAAUCCUAGCACUCUAGGAAGCCGAGGCAGGAGGAUCACUUGGGUUCAGGAGUCAAGACUAGCUACAGACCUGCGGUGCAUCUUACAAGGGUAUGUGUGAAACUUAGGAAAUGUAGAAUGUAAAUGUCUUAACACAAUAACUAAGAAAAUGCCAGGAAGGCUAUGUUAACCAGUGUGAUGAAAAUGUGUCAAAUGGUCUAUAAAACCAGUGUAUGGUGCCCCAUGAUCACAUUAAUGUACACAGCUAUGAUUUAAUAAUAAAAAAAAAAAGACUAGCUAUAGCAAGAGUGGGACCCCUGUCUACUAAAAAUAGAAAAACCAGUCAGGCAUUCUGGCGGACACCUGUAAUCCCAGCUAUUUGGUAGGCUGAGGCAAAGGGAGGAUCACUUGAGCUCGGGAUUUGGGGGCUAUAAUGAGGUGUGAUCACACCUGUCACUAGCCACUGUAUUCCAGCCUGGGCAAUGUAGACGGGCCCUGUCUUUGAAAAAACAAUAAUAAAAAAGGCCUUCUUGACAACUGGAUUCUUUGCCAUUGAGAAGCAGAUGUCAGUAGAACACACUAAACUAGGAAGGGAGUCCCUUUUCAGGGAUGGCGGAAUUUGCACUGCUUGCUAACAAAGGAGCAGCUGCCCAUGGAGUCUGGGCAAGGCACUGAGUGAGGGAUGGGGAGGUGAACGGUUCUCAAGCUGCAGUCACUGCUCCCCACCCCCAACCCCUGCCAGAAGUCCAGGCCAGAGAAGCCGUCAGAGGAGAAACCCCCAAUGAAGAUGUGACCCACUUCCAGGCUGGCAGGGCUGGAUGUGUGGCUCGACAUCUAUAGCUGUGACAGGUGCUGAGGGAGGUCAUCACACACAGCAAAAAGGCAUUUGCAACAGCCAAUACUUAGAAACUAGCAUUAAAAGAGAGUGAGAUUAUAUCCGCCAAGCUGGUGUGAAAUAAAAUACCACGUGACUUAGUUCCCUUGUGCUGCCAUAGUACACCUUUAAGAGUGGCUUAGAACAACAGGAAUUCAUGCUGUCCAUUCCGGAGGCUAGAUGUCCUAAGUCAAGGGUUGGUAGGGCCCGUACCCUCUGAAGGCUGUGGGGAGAAUCCUUGCCCCUGCCAGCUUCUGGUCCCCCCUGGGUUGUGCCCACAUCACGCCAGUCUUGGCCACCAUCUUCACACAGGCUUCUGUCUUCUUCUUUCCCUUCUCUUAUAAGGACCAUUGGUUUUAGGGUCCACCCUAAUCCAGGAUAAUCUCAUCUUGAGAUCCUUAACUAAUUAAAUUUGUAGAGGCCCUAUUUCCACAUUGGGUCGCGUUCUCAGGUUGCAGGUGGGCAUGAAAUUUGUAUGCACAGGAUUCAACCCACCACAUUACUAUGAGAUGGGCCUGUGAGGAAGAUUGACUGGAAAAUGGAAAACAGUCUCACAACCUAUGGCCGCUAAACCCAAAUCAGGAAGAAGCUGUCUUGCUGAAAUGUGGCACAUUCUCCAAACUGUCCCCAGCUGUCUGGGCACGACCCCUCCAAGGUUUCCUUUGGCAUGGUUAGUGCUGGCUGGAGGAGAGGACGUGUGUGCAUGGGCACCCCAGGGGCAGCUGAGAUCAGCCACGUCACCUGCAUUCCCUCCCUGGAUCCUCACAAUAGGUCUCCUGGGUAUGAGGAAACUGAGACACAGGCAAUUUAAGAAACUUGCUUGAGAUCUUAAAAUUAUGGCUAGUAACUGGCAUGGGCCCAGUUGGCUCCAGAGUCUGUGCUACCUGGCCAGAAUCCCAUCUAUACAUGGAGACUAUCGUCACAAAAUUAGCCAGCACUUGGGUUUGCCUGUGUGAAGGAGAAACUCCAGGAGUUCAAGUGAAGCCAGAU